rnacentral:snRNA from 1 species
AACUUUGUGCGGAGGCAGUAUCAUAGCCAAUGAGGUUUAGCCACGGUGCUUAUUGCUAAUUGAAACCUUUUUCCAAUAGCCCACUGUGACAACUUGUAAUACAGUCAGCAUUAAAAAUAAAAUAAUAUG